CAGAAUUGGAAAAGUUUCCAUCUGAUUGACAUUCUACCUCAAUGACCAUACGGGAUUGGAGGGUAAUUGACCUUGUUGCCUGUGACACAGAUCUAAACAGCCCUCUGAAUGGGAUACUGUUGCCUCGCUACGAAGGAUUUGAGAGAAAGUGGCGUGGAAGUCUACAAAAACAGGGAAUGACAUCUACAGCCAAGCUGUACUUGGCCUUAUCCAGACAGCACCACAGUGUCCCUGCAUGUGAGCACAGCUAAAUUUGGACCUUCUCAUUUUGGAAGACUGAAGUGCACAUGUGUGCUCCACAUGCUAUCAAGGCCAUGACAUCAGAGUGAAUACAAAGCAAUGACAAUGAGGCCAAAAAGCAAC